rnacentral:tRNA from 1 species
AGGAAGUUAGCUCAAUGGGUAGAGCGAUCGACUCUUAAUCGAUUUGUCACAGGUUCAAAUCCUGUACUUUCAACCA